rnacentral:rRNA from 1 species
GACAGAGGGUGCAAACGUUGUUCGGAUUUACUGGGCAUAAAGCGUGUGUAGGCGGCUUGGCAAGUUGGAUGUGAAAGCCCACGGCUCAACCGUGGAAGCGCAUCCAAAACUGCUUCGCUGGAGUCUCGGAGAGGAAGGUGGAAUGCUUGGUGUAGAGGUGAAAUUCGUAGAUAUCAAGCAGAACACCUGCGGCGAAGGCGGCCUUCUGGACGAUGACUGACGCUGAGACACGAAAGCGUGGGGAGCAAACAGG